rnacentral:rRNA from 1 species
CCUACGGGGGGCAGCAGUGGGGAAUAUUGGACAAUGGGGGCAACCCUGAUCCAGCCAUGCCGCGUGUGUGAAGAAGGCCCUCGGGUUGUAAAGCACUUUCAGUGAGGAAGAACGCCUGGUGGUUAAUACCCAUCAGGAAAGACAUCACUCACAGAAGAAGCACCGGCUAACUCCGUGCCAGCAGCCGCGGUAAUACGGAGGGUGCGAGCGUUAAUCGGAAUUACUGGGCGUAAAGCGCGCGUAGGUGGCUUGAUAAGCCGGUUGUGAAAGCCCCGGGCUCAACCUGGGAACGGCAUCCGGAACUGUCAAGCUAGAGUGCAGGAGAGGAAGGUAGAAUUCCCGGUGUAGCGGUGAAAUGCGUAGAGAUCGGGAGGAAUACCAGUGGCGAAGGCGGCCUUCUGGACUGAUACUGACACUGAGGUGCGAAAGCGUGGGUAGCAAACAGGAUUAGAUACCCUAGUAGUC